GAUGAACGCUGGCGGCGUGCCUAACACAUGCAAGUCGAGCGGACGGAGGAGGCGCUCGCUUCUCUUAAGUUAGCGGCGGACGGGUGAGUAAUAGGUGUAUAACCUAUCUAUAGGACUGGGAUAACGUCGGGAAACCGGAUCUAACACCGGACGAUAGGGUGAACCGCAGGGUUCAUAAGUGAACGACGGACUUGCUGAGACUAAUAGAUGUAACCGGGCUGCAUUAGCUAGUUGGUAAGGUAACGGCUUACCAAGGCAACGAUGCGUAGCCGAUCUGAGAGGAUGAGCAGCCACACUGGAACUGAGACACGGUCCAGACUCCUACGGGAGGCAGCAGUGGGGAAUCUUCGGCAAUGGGCGAAAGCCUGAUCGAGCCACGCCGCGUGAGUGAUGAAGGUCUUCGGAUCGUAAAGCUCUGUUAUUAGGGAAGAACAGAUGUGUGUGAAUCCGUGGCUGUCUUGACGGUACCUACUGAGAAAGCCCCGGCUAACUACGUG
rnacentral:rRNA from 1 species